AUUGAACGCUGGCGGCAUGCCUUACACAUGCAAGUCGAACGGCAGCACGGGUGCUUGCACCUGGUGGCGAGUGGCGAACGGGUGAGUAAUACAUCGGAACAUGUCCUGUAGUUGGGGAUAGCCCGGCGAAAGCCGGAUUAAUACCGCCUACGAUCUACGGAGGACAGCGGGGGACCUUCGGGCCUCGCGCUAUAGGGUUGGCCGAUGGCUGAUUAGCUAGUUGGUGGGGUAAAGGCCUACCAAGGCGACGAUCAGUAGCUGGUCUGAGAGGACGACCAGCCACACUGGGACUGAGACACGGCCCAGACUCCUACGGGAGGCAGCAGUGGGGAAUUUUGGAGAAUGGGCGAAAGCCUGAUGCAGCAAUGCCGCGUGUGUGAAGAGGGCCUUCGGGUUGGAAAGCACUUUUGUCCGGAAAGAAAUCCUUGGCCCUAAUACGGUCGGGGGAUGACGGUACCGGAAGAAUAAGCACCGGCUAACUACGUG
rnacentral:rRNA from 1 species